GGGAAUGUGGCUUAGUGGUAGAGUGCUUGACUAGCAUACAUGAAGCUCUAGGUUCAAUUCCUCAGUACCA
rfam:Dipodomys ordii contig_3423, whole genome shotgun sequence.